rnacentral:rRNA from 1 species
AUUGAACGCUGGCGGCAGGCCUAACACAUGCAAGUCGAGCGAGCGGCGGACGGGUGAGUAAUGUCUGGGAAACUGCCUGAUGGAGGGGGAUAACUACUGGAAACGGUAGCUAAUACCGCAUACCAUCAGAUGUGCACAGUUGGGAUUAGAUAGUAGGGGGGGUAACGGCUCACCUAGGCAACGAUCCCGAGCUGGUCUGGGAGGAUGACCAGCAACCCGGGAACGGAGACAUGGUCCAGAUUCCUCGGGGAGGCAGCGGUGGGAAAUAUUGGCAAAUGGGGGCAAGCCUGAGUCAGCCAUUCCGCGUGUAGGAAGAGGGCCUUCGGGUUGUAAAGUACUUUCAGCGGGGAGGCGUUACCCGCAGAAGAAGCACCGGCUAACUCCGUGCCAGCCGCCGCGGUAAUAC